UAUGCCCAGGGCCUCACACGUGCUACAAUGGCAUCGACAAAGCGACGCAAGACCGCGAGGUGGAGCAAAUCGCAAAAACGGUGCCUCAGUUCGGAUUGCAGGCUGGCAAUUCGCCUGCAUGAAGUUGGAAUCGCUAGUAAUCGCGUAUCAGCUACGACGUGGUGAAUGUGUUCCUGAGCCUUGUACACACCGCCCGUCAAGUGAUGGGAGUUGGGAGUACCCGAAGUCGGUUUGCUAACCUUAGGGAAGCGACUGCCGACGGUAAGCCCGAUGACUGGCACUAAGUCGUAACAAGGUAGCCGUAGGGGAACCUGCGGCUGGAUCACCUCCUU
rnacentral:rRNA from 1 species